UGACUCUGUGGUCGGCCAUG
rnacentral:misc_RNA from 1 species